CUCCUCACACCCUCGGGUAUAUAUAUCCGGGACUCACCUGCGCACCUCACAAGCACACAACAGUCCUGGGCAGCGGCUGGCGUCUUAACAACCAGCAUGAAGAUUAUACUGGUGUUGAUGUGCGUGUGUGUGGCGGCGGGGUUGACUCUAGCCCUGCCAAGCCCUCUGGCGGCGGCUCAGUUUGGUUUUGGUGGAUAUCGCAGACAUUACAGUCCCUUCGGUGCUCCCUUUACCACCCACGUCCACCACGGCGACCACACCCACUACACCACCUACUACCCGUCCGGGGGCCACACACACUUCACCGACUACCAUGGCUUCGGCAACGAACACCAUUAACGUUAAGGGUGCCUUAAGAAAAGAAGUUGGGGAAGCCACCUUCAUUUACACCUUUAAUGGACAUGUGCUUUAGUGCGCAGGUGGCCCCAUGCUGCAGUGCGCAGGUGGCCCCAUGCUGUAGUGCGCAGGUGGCCCCAUGCUGCAGUGCGCAGGUGGCCCCAUGCUGCAGUGCGCAGGUGGCCCCAUGCAGCAGUGCGCAGGUGGCCCCAUGCACCAGUGCGCAGGUGGCCCCAUGCACCAGUGCGCAGGUGGCCCGGUGAAUAAGGACUGCAAGAUGACGCGCAGCUAGGAAAGGGAGCAGGAAAGACGGCCUGCGCAGGUCUCCUCGCGCAGGUCCGGGCAUCAAACACCAUGAUUAUACACCACAUACAAAGAUUAACGGACAUGUGUAUUUUCUUAUAUCAAUUUUGUGUCACUAAAUUAUUCGCGCAUUUUAACGACGUAAAUUGCUGACUAAAAUAUAUACCCGGUGACUGAACUCAAAAGCACGCAGCGAAUAUGAGCUCGCACGAGGCAGAAACAAAUGGGCAAAGUUUCUUUCACCCUGAAUGUCCCUGUUACCUAGCAGUAAAUAGGUACCUGGGAGUUAGUCAACUGUCACGGGCUGCUUCCUGGGGGUGGAGGCCUGGUC